AGACAUCGCUCAGGAGAACCAAAAUGCCUGCCUACAGAUCUCCAUCCACUAUCCAGGGGGCUGGCAGAUCCUGAGGAGUCUUCAGGGGGUCCACCCCACAGGAAAACACAAGAAGAGGGAAGCAGCAGAAAUUCACUUGUGGGUCAUUCUUCAAGGAAAGCCUCUUUAGGGAAAGAAGGCGAACAAGUUCCCACGGAUUCCAGGCCUCCCCAUGCCUCCAGCACACACAGUUCAGAGGGCAUCUGCCAUUACAUAAGCAGACACCGAGUGACCCGCAGCAAGCAUCUUCCUUCCCUCCUCAUUGUUCAGGCGAGGAGCAUUUCAGUGCAGGCCCAAGCCGCCAAGGACCGGCAGCACCAGAGGAACAAGCCAUUAUGCUUCAGCAGGGCUGUGGCUGCCUGCCUGUCUGCCCUCCCAGCACCACUACUCCAGGGCACAGCAACCUCCAGGGGCUGGCAGCAGGGCCCCGGCACAGGGCAGGGACAGCUCCCACCACCCCACUGCAGGGCCCUGGCCCCACCACGGGUCACACAGGCCCUGUCCCCACUAGCCCAGCCCCACGCACACGCCCCAUCCCUGCACCACGGAGCGUUGCCAGCCCUCGGGGCCUGCCACCCACACCGGGAAGGGGUGGGCACAAAGCCCCGGGGCAGCGGUAACAGCCCAGCCCCAGCAGCCCGGGGCAGGAUGAGGCCCCAGCCCGGCACCCUCCCGCAGCGGGGCAGGAUGGGGCCCCGGGCAGCGCCCAGACCUCGCCUCCCGAACAGGGGGGCUGUGGGAGGAGGCCCCAGCCCAGCUCCGCCGCGGCGGGAGGCGGCUGGGGAAGGGGGCGCGGCCCAGCCCGGCCCGGCGCAGCCCGGCACGGCCCUUUCUCGGCGGGCCCGUGCCGAGGCUCUCCGGGAGGCGGCGGCGAGCGCAGGCCGGGCGCUGCGUGACCUUCACCGGGGGGAGCCCCGGGGCGGCGGUGACCUUGCCCGGAGCGAGGCCGGCGGCGGGGCCGGGGGUGCGGGACAGGCUGCGGGACCCCCCCAACCCAACUGGGAACCGCCGCCGCCGCCGCCACCCCUCUCCCCUUCCCUCCCCUCCUCUUCUCUCCCCUCCCGCGGGCGGACCCCGCAGACGGAGCCCCGCAGCCCCGGCGCCGCUCACCUUCACAGUGACGGGGCCAAGCCGGGAGAGCGCGGCACGGCACGGCGCCGAGGAGAAGGAGGAGGAGGUGGGAGAGGCCCGGACCCGCGCGGCUCUGCCCGCUCCGCUCCGCUCCCUGCGCCGCGCCGAGCGCUCUGCGCCGCGCCGCCGCGCCGCGCUCAAAUACCGCCCCGCCCGCUGCGGCGCGCGGCCCGCCGCCCUCCCAUUGGC
rnacentral:lncRNA from 1 species